rnacentral:rRNA from 1 species
GCGAACGCUGGCGGCCGGCCUAACACAUGCCAGUCGCACGAACUCUUCGGAGUUAGUGGCGGACGGGUGAGUAACACGUGGGAACGUGCCUUUUGGUUCGGAAUAACUCAGGGAAACUUGUGCUAAUACCGAAUGUGCCCUUCGGGGGAAAGAUUUAUCGCCAUUAGAGCGGCCCGCGUCUGAUUAGCUAGUUGGUGAGGUAACGGCUCACCAAGGCGACGAUCAGUAGCUGGUCUGAGAGGAUGACCAGCCACACUGGGACUGAGACACGGCCCAGACUCCUACGGGAGGCAGCAGUGGGGAAUCUUGCGCAAUGGGCGAAAGCCUGACGCAGCCAUGCCGCGUGAAUGAUGAAGGUCUUAGGAUUGUAAAAUUCUUUCACCGGGGACGAUAAUGACGGUACCCGGAGAAGAAGCCCCGGCUAACUUCGUG